CUGUCAUUUCUUGAUUUUUUCCUUUUCCAGUGACGAGUGUUUCUGCAUCGUUUGAAUCAACUUUAACAGAGGAUAAAUCUCAAGAGGAGGAAAGCGAAUCCGAUUCUGGAGAAGAAACUCCACCUCCCUCAAUUCCUAAAGUCCAGAUAGAGGAACCUACAGAUGGCCUUGAAAGCACGGAAAGCGGGGAAAUGGAUAUCAAGGAAUUAACUUCUGGCGUUUCCAGUUCGGAAUGGGGCACAGGCACUUUGGAAGUUGGCGAAUUUCGUCCAUAUCCUAACAACCAGCUGAUAACUUGUGAG